CAAAUUAGAGCUUGAUAAAAGUAUUUUAUUUACAUUAAAAAGUUAGAUGUGAGAUUCCUCUUAAUUUGA
rnacentral:tRNA from 1 species